rnacentral:piRNA from 1 species
UNGGCAUUACUGGCUUAUGGUGUGGCAG